rfam:Hordeum vulgare subsp. vulgare, WGS project CAJW01000000 data, contig: morex_contig_51294
GUAGUACUCCCUCCGUCUCAAAAUUUUUGUUUUAGCAUUGUCUAAACAUGAAUGUAUCGAUACAUUCAUGUUUAGACAAUGCUAAAACAAAAAAUUUAAGACGGAGGGAGUACAAA